UACGUAGGGCGCAAGCGUUGUCCGGAAUUAUUGGGCGUAAAGAGCUCGUAGGUGGUUUGUUACGUCUGCUGUGAAAACCUAGGGCUUAACCCUGGGCCUGCAGUGGAUACGGGCAGACUAGAGGUAGGUAGGGGAGAAUGGAAUUCCCGGUGUAGCAGUGAAAUGCGUAGAGAUCGGGAGGAACACCAGUGGCGAAGGCGGCCUUCUGGACCAGUACUGACGCUCAUGCACGAAAGCGUGGGGAGCAAACAGG
rnacentral:rRNA from 1 species